CGCAUGUCUGUCCCGUGUUCUUUAAGUGGUCUUUGGCUUGUGACGGAUUUUGCAGAACUUGAGAGCAAUGUGUGAAGAAUAAUUGAAAGAGAAAAUGAAUGUUAUUUGAAACUACAAAGACAUG